UACAGGGGGGGCGAGCGUUGUUCGGAAUUACUGGGCGUAAAGGGUUUGUAGGUGGCUUGCUAAGUCAGACGUGAAAUCCCUCAGCUUAACUGGGGAACUGCGUCUGAGACUGGCGAGCUUGAGUGCAGGAGAGGAACGCGGAAUUCCAGGUGUAGCGGUGAAAUGCGUAGAUAUCUGGAGGAACACCGGUGGCGAAGGCGGCGUUCUGGACUGCACCUGACGCUGACACGCGAAAGCUAGGGGAGCGAACGGG
rnacentral:rRNA from 1 species